rnacentral:rRNA from 1 species
UACGUAGGGUGCAAGCGUUGUCCGGAAUUAUUGGGCGUAAAGAGCUCGUAGGCGGUUUGUUGCGUCGGCUGUGAAAUCCCGAGGCUCAACCUCGGGUCUGCAGUCGAUACGAGCAAACUAGAGUGUUGCAGGGGAGACUGGAAUUCCUGGUGUAGCGGUGAAAUGCGCAGAUAUCAGGAGGAACGCCGGUGGCGAAGGCGGGUCUCUGGGGCAACAACUGACGCUGGAGGAGCGAAAGCGUGGGGAGCGAACAGG